UACGUAGGGUGCAAGCGUUGUCCGGAAUUAUUGGGCGUAAAGAGCUCGUAGGUGGCCUGUCGCGUCGGCUGUGAAAACUCGGGGCUCAACUCCGAGCUUGCAGUCGAUACGGGCAGGCUAGAGUUCGGCAGGGGAGACUGGAAUUCCUGGUGUAGCGGUGAAAUGCGCAGAUAUCAGGAGGAACACCUGUGGCGAAAGCGGCUCACUGGACCGCAACUGACGCUGAGGCGCGAAAGCUAGGGGAGCAAACAGG
rnacentral:rRNA from 1 species